rnacentral:lncRNA from 1 species
AUUGGUUAUCAACAAUUUUUUGAAGAUUUUUAAUUCUCUGAAUAUUUGAAGCCUACAUCUCCAUAAUGUUUAUAAGAAAACAUGUUUUUUUUUUUAAAAUUAAAUAGUAAAAUAAUUGGACUUUAAAUAGAUAAGUAUUUCCUGCUUGUUAAUGAAUUACUCAUUACCGUGAUUUUUAUUCUAUUAUUAACCGUCACUAAUGUGAGGUUAGACUGAAUAACUUUUAAAUCUAUGUAAUAAUUUCAGUAAAAAUAUAAAUCUAAGUAAAACUUGAAGAAGAAUGUUUGAAAUAUUCUCUACAACACUGAUGACAUUUUUAAUUAUUCAAGAAAUUGUAAUGAUUAUUAUCAAAAAUGAGAAUUUAUAUUAAAAGAAGUUUAUCUGAGAUUUCGUAAUAAUGAUAGUCUAUCAGCAGAUUGAAUUUCGAUGAAAAAUUCCACGACAGCAAACACACCGGAUGAACAAGGUUUGAGAAUAUAAAAUAAAAUAAAAAAGAUUUAAAAAAUCUCAGUGGACCAUAGCCGUCAGAAAUCCGGUAUUUGGCGCGCGUGAUCAAGCUACCUGUUGUGACGGAGAAGACUCUGGAUGAAGUGUACCAAAGGGAUAGGGACGAAGAAAAAAAUGAAAGAAAAAUUAUUGAGAUGUGGAUGUCACGUCAAAGAACUCGUGGAGUAUUUUAAGAUAAUUUCUGAUAGCUUUCAUGAUGAAAGCACGCGGUCCAACAACUUGCAUCCGCAUUUUGCGCGUGAGCAUAAUUCAGCCAAGUACAAACGUAAAGAGAAAGAAGGAAAGAUACCAAGUGUUGCUGUGGCGUGCAUUCGUCGUUUGUAUACGUGCUCUUGGGUAAUAUAAGAGAAUGCAUACGCAUCAGGGGCCCUGAGGUACAUACCUGCCGCAUGCCACUAGUCCUAUCGGACUCAACGACCUGGCGGCAAACCUCCCAAUACCCGCACAACCGUGCACUUUCUAAAAGGCUUCGUCGAUUUCGCCUGUCAAGUAAGAUAUACACGUGUAGUACUACACGACAAUCUAACGAUGCUGCGGGUGAGUGCACUUGCAAUUCAAAAAGAUGAUGAUGAUGUAGGAAUAAGGAAAAAAAUAGAUCAAGUGUCCUGUUGAUCAGGCUUUAAAUCUCCAGAAUCUUUAUAACAUAAAACGAAAAGAGAAGAAGAAAAGAAGAAAACAAUAGAAUGGAUCUCCAUUGAACGAAUUUUCAUGGUCAAUAUCUUGAAGAUUCAGCUCAAAAUAAAUCGGCUUUUAACGAGCGAAUACACGACUUGAAAUGCACAGGGGAGGAGUCAAUGGAGGUAGUAGGAAAAUAACUGAAAUUCUUCAACGCAUUUCACUUUCCUGUUGCUUGCAAUCGUCAGCGACUUUUCUACGAGAUGAAUACACGUAUAACUUUUCACAUAAACAUAUUUCUAAAAAUUAUCAAUCUGAUAAUUCUAUUUUAUACAGUUGUGAAAAAAAAGGUUCAAAUAUCCAAUAGUUGAAUGAUCUACCUGUAGAGAUGUAUAACAUUAGUUACAGCCAGUGGAGCAGAGUAUGAUUGCCACAAAGAAUUUUGUUGGCUGCAUAUGUAUAAUUCUUUGAAAAUAGUCAUAGGAAAUUGCUCAUGGCAAUGCGUGCGAAAGAUUCCGAUCUCUGUAUAAUGGAAAUCAAUGUUUGGAUGUUCAUCGAAGCGCAACGCUUUUUAUUCACCAUUCGUAGCUAUGAACAUAGGUCCAUGAGGUCGAUAAAAACUUACAACUAUACUCUACAUUUAAUUUGGUGAUACAAAUGUACAUAUACACCUCAAGGUAACUUUGUGCUCAGACCGUGGAUUAAGAACGUGACUGGCAUUUACAUCAUUUAACUACGCAACUUUAGUAAACAUCAGCAUCAUAUCCUCUUGCGACGACGCCUUGUCUUAUCUUGUUGAGAUUUUUCAGCAAUACCAACCGAAAUUAUCCAAUUUUUUGAAAAAAAAAGAGUAUUUUAAAAAUUUUACAAUUGUUUACUCUAAAAAUGGUUAUUGUUAUAACAUAAAUUACCAUGUAUCCUGUAAUUGCACAAGAAUGUAGCAAAUUAUAGAUAAUGUCAACUGCGAUGAUUUAUCUUUAUGAAAAAAAACCAUUAUUGUUAUACUGUUGAAAGUUUAGUUAACUGAAGUGGUAGUAAACAAG